rnacentral:lncRNA from 1 species
UUGGUCAUUACUAGAAAUCGGCUUGCCACGGUGGAGCACAAGGUGAGCACAAUCGAAUCCCUUCAACGGUGGUCGGGGAAGAUGCUCCAAGCCAUUGUGCGCCAUUUGGUUUGCGGUACUCCCGAGUGCGCCGAACCGGAACCAUUGCCCGCACCGAUUCUUGAGCCGGUACCCGAGCUAUUGGAGGACGAGGAGGAUGGUAAUGCUCAUGAGCACGG